rnacentral:rRNA from 1 species
GAAACACGGACCAAGGAGUCUAGCAUGUGCGCGAGUCAUUGGGACACGACUAAACCUAAAGGCGCAAUGAAAGUGAAGGCCCGCCUCGCGCGGGCCGAGGGAAGAUGUGCGCUCGGCUCCAGCCGACGUACCGCAUUCCCGGGGCGUCUCGUUCUCAUCGCGAGGAGAGGCGCACCAAGAGCGUACACGCUGGGACCCGAAAGAUGGUGAACUAUGCCUGGUCAGGACGAAGUCAGGGGAAACCCUGAUGGAGGUCCGUAGCGAUUCUGACGUGCAAAUCGAUCGUCGGAACUGGGUAUAGGGGCGAAAGACUAAUCGAACCAUCUAGUAGCUGGUUCCCUCCGAAGUUUCCCUCAGGAUAGCUGGCGCUCGUCGCCAACGAGUCUCAUCCGGUAAAGCGAAUGAUUAGAGGCAUUGGGGCCGAAACGGCCUCAACCUAUUCUCAAACUUUAAAUGGGUGAGAUCUCCGGCUUGCUCGAACCGAUGAAGCCGCGAGACUCGGAUCAGAGUGCCAAGUGGGCCAUUUUUGGUAAGCAGAACUGGCGCUGUGGGAUGAACCAAACGCCGAGUUAAAGCGCCUAAAUCGACGCUUAUGGGAUACCAUGAAAGGCGUUGGUAACUUAAGACAGCAGGACGGUGGCCAUGGAAGUCGGAAUCCG